rnacentral:rRNA from 1 species
GUUCGGAUUGUAGGCUGAAACUCGCCUACAUGAAGCUGGAGUUACUAGUAAUCGCAGAUCAGAAUGCUGCGGUGAAUGCGUUCCCGGGUCUUGUACACACCGCCCGUCACACCACGGAAGUUGGGGGCGCCCGAAGCCACUUAGCUAACCCUUUUGGGAAGCGAGUGUCGAAGGUGAAAUCAAUAACUGGGGUGAAGUCGUAACAAGGUAAC